GGGUAAUUGAUGCUUCUUAAAUUUGAAAAUGGCACCGAGGUAUGACUCAUGCUGGAGGAGAAAAGUCAAGAGCCAGCAAAGUAUUUGCAGAAGAUACAGAAGAAAGGUAGACACACAAGGAGUGGAGAAUGCAGAAUCAAAGUGGAGGCCAGAUGACUAUUGCACUGAAGGAAUACCUUGUCUUCCUGAAUAUACUACAUUUACACCAGUUAUGAGUCAGUUCUGAGAUUUUGGCAGGUUUGCUUUGAUACAGCUAAAAUACUGUCUUCCUUGUCUAAAUGGCUGCAUUACAAGAAAGUGAUCAUUUUCUGAAACUGAAAGACACUUGGAGCUGAGUGAUAUUAAUGAUAGACUCUAACUGAUUAUCAUCCUCGUUACUAAUAAGCUGUUUUCCCAAUGUCUAUGUCCUAUUUAAGAGCAAAUAAUAUUGUUAGAUUAUUGAUGUUGAAAUAUCCAGUGAAAAAUAUUUAGAUUUGCUUUUGUCUGCAUUAUGUAACCCCAAUUUUCACCAUGU